rnacentral:rRNA from 1 species
GACGAACGCUGGCGGCGUGCUUAACACAUGCAAGUCGAGCGGUAAGGCCCUUUCGGGGUACGACGAGCGGCGAACGGGUGAGUAACACGUGGGUGGACCUCGCCCUCCAGCUCUGGGAGUAAGACCCGGGAAACCGUAGGGUCGUAAUAACUGGAUAUGACUCCACGGUGCAUGCCGUGGGGUGGAAAGCCUUGUGCGGCUGAGGAUGGGCCCGGCGGCCUAUCAGCUUGUUGGUGGGGUGAUGGCCUACCAAGGCGACGACGGGUAGCCGGCCUGAGAGGGCGACCGGCCACACUGGGACUGAGACACGGCCCAGACUCCUACGGGAGGCAGCAGUGGGGAAUCUUGCGCAAUGGGCGAAAGCCUGACGCAGCGACGCCGCGUGAGGGAUGACGGCCU